CCGGAGUCGGCGGCACUGACAACCGGAGGUGAUUCUUAAAGGGCCAGGCGCACGUGGUGCGGCCUUCUGGAUGAGACUCGUCCUCAGGCUUGGUGGCAAUCGCCUUUACCGGUGGAGUGGAGCCUAAGGUUUGAAGAUCCUCCCCCUGCCUUAACCCUGCACUGUGUUUGAAAGAACUUUUGCAGUCCGAGAGUUGGUAAGUGGCCGAUGUUACAGCUUUGUCAUCACUUUGGGGAUCAGAAGUGGAUGGUGAUUGACAAGGUCUGGGGACUUUGGACUCCAACACCAUCUCGCGUCACUCGCCACUCGCAGGCACCUGCAGCCCCCUGGAAUCAUCCAGAAUCCCCCACCUCAAGUGUCUGCGUGCACAGCCUCUGGGUGUCGCUGACGUCUAACCAGAGACAGCGUUCCCAGCCCUGCGCCCAGGGCGAAUCCGAAAGCACUAGAGGGGGCUUUCCUCACCAUCUGAGGCUGCCCACAGCCUCUUCCAGCUCACCUGAGCCCCCGAAUUUCCGCUGGGGCUUGAGGGAAUCCAUUUUUUUUUUUUCUUUUCUUUAAGCUUGAGAUUCCCGGGUAGUACAUCCCUCCCCAUGCUUUGAUACAGGAUCUAGAAACUCGCGCUGCAGCCUGGGGCCAGGAUUAUUUUAGAUUAAGGGGUGCUACUUGCGGUGGGUCAGGUGGAAAGAGGGGAGGAGAGGAGCUCUAUUCAUUUGGCUUGGGGAGGGUUCCUCUUCCCAGCUUUUCGGGAGCUGUUGGAGAAGGGACUGUCUGAAGCGAAUAAAGGUCUGCAGAUUUGGGGGGGGGGGGGUGUCCCCGGCCCAUGGAGGGGGAAGGAUGGUGGGCAUAAAAGCUCCUUCCUGAUAUGGCCCCUCCCCCUCUCGCUCGUUCAAACUCGAGAGUGGGCGGGCGGGGCGAGGGAGUCCCCCUUCUCCCCCUCCUCCACCAGCUUGGCAGUCCACCACACCAGCAGCGGUCUAUCCCAGCCCGGGCACGCGCAUGACGGACCUAUACCCAGAGGGUCUCCCACACACACCAGCAAACAAAGGGUCUGGACACUUGUCCCCUCCCGGGUCCCGACCCCAGGCCAGAGAGGGCCAGAGAGGGCGGGGCUCCUAUCUCCAGCCCCUUUUCCCAGCAAGCUGUGUCCAGCCCCUGGGGACAGGGAGAGACACCAGCCCCGGGUUACUUGGAGCUGUUUCUCUAUCUUGAAUUCCUGGUAGCUUACCUUCCCCCAGAGGAGAACCCUACGGUGUAUCUUGUUUCUGUAUCAUGCAGGUAAAGGAGAGCUGAGACUGCUUUGGGGCUGGGCUGAGGCUGGGGGUGGGAAUCCUUGCUGCCACACCACUUAACUGCAUCCAGAUCUCAGAGAUCACCGGGUUCAUGUGCAUUUCUGAGCCUCUAUUUCUUCAGCUACUUAAAGGAGCAACUGCAAGCUGAGACUAAAGCCGGCCAGGAGCCCAGCAGCCUUUACUCCCUGGUCCAUUUCCUGUUAUUUCAUUCCCGUUCUCCAACUACCUGCAGUAAAUGCCAGCCACUGGCCAGACCGCAGUCGCAGCGAACGGGAGAUACAAGGGCCAGGGAGCAAGAUCCAAAUAUAAACAAGUCUUUGUAUAUAAACUUGACCAUCACCAUGGAAAUUCUGCCAGGAAUGGAGGAGACCUCCCAGCCCUUGGCAGGUAGAGGCAGGAAGGAGGAUCAGGCGUUCCAGGCUGACAGUGGCUGCAAGGGGUUUGAAGCCAGCCGAGGGUUCAGGAGAUCCUGUCUCAGAAGACAAAAGUCUGUCCUGGCAUGGUAACCCUCACCUUUAAGCCCAGCACUCUGGAGGCAGAGGCAGAGGCGGAGUGAUUGUUGUGAAUUCCAGGGAAGCCUUGGCUACAGGGUGAGUUCCAGGACAGCUAGGAACACAUAGUGAGACCCUGAAAAAAAAAAUCCUGAUUAAACUAAGGAAAUUAAAAUUCAGACUAGAUUCAGAUAAUUGGGCAACAGGAAAGAGGAUUGUCAUGAACCAAUUAGUCACUCCCCCCUUUCUUUUUCUUUUUUCUUUUUGAGACAGGGUCUCACAUAGCCCCAGCUGGCCUUAGACCCCUGAUCCUCCUGCCUUUACCCCCUGACAGCCGGGAUGACGGGUGCUAGCCAUCCUGCCUUGCUCUCAAACACAGGAGUUGAAUCAUCAUCUUAUGAAAAUGAGGAAGGGGCCGACAAGAUGGCUCAGUGGGUACAGGUGCUUGUUCCCAAAUCUGAAGGUCUGAGUUACAUCUCCAGGCCCCACAUGGUGGAGGAGAGAACAACUCCCGUCUCCAGGCGUACACUGAUGGCGUGAUGGCUGUACAUGGUCAUCUUUCCCUUCCCCACAUAAUAAAGAAAGGUCUUUUUU